rnacentral:rRNA from 1 species
UACAGAGGUCUCAAGCGUUGUUCGGAUUCAUUUGGGCGUAAAGGGUGCGUAGGCGGCGCGGUAAGUCGGGUGUGAAAGUCUUGGAGCUUAACUCCGAAACUGCAAUUCGAUACUGCCGUGCUUGAGGACUGGAGAGGAGACUGGAAUUUACGGUGGUAGCGGUGAAAUGCGUAGAUAUCGUAAGGAAGACCAGUGGCGAAGGCGGGUCUCUGGACAGGUUCCUGACGCUGAGGCACGAAGGCCAGGGGAGCAAACGGGA